rnacentral:sRNA from 1 species
ACGCUUCGUCAUCGUCAGUGGCAGCACAGGAAGAAGCCAGCGGACCAUGGAGUCACUGAGCCCGAAAAACCGAACUGUCCUGCCCCAUAGAACCCCCAACCCAAACAAUUUGUCCCCGCCCCCGGGCAAAGUGUGGCUCCAAUUGGCGCUUGACAUGGCCCCGACGAUACAGCAACAACGGGCAGACAAGCGGACAAACGGACAGACGAACAGACGGACGGACAAACGAAAAUAUUGUUCCAUCAAAAAUCCCAGCAACGUUUGCUGAUUUACACGAUGCUGCCUUGGCUGCUGUUGCCGUUGUCAUUGUCGGCGAUCAUAUCAAAGCGGCGCAAAUUUCCUGCCGGCAUACAGAUAAGCAAGAGUGUAGGAGUUCGGGAGCUAAAUAAAAAAGGCACCAAAAACUGAUGGCCAGGGGAGCCUGGCGACAGUGGAAAGUAGAAGGCUCCGAUCCUGACCACUUCCAGGCGACCUAACCUGGCGUCUAUAUAAUUGUUGUCUCCAUACCCUCCGAUAAAUGAAGAAUCCCCCACAUUUUGGACCAACGCUUUUCUGACCGUGUGUCUGCGGACAACCGCUUAGAUGGCGAGCCGGACAAACGGAUGCUUGGAAGGAUGGAUGACUGGGGAAUUGGAGUCUCCGAUUGUUGUUGCUGCGAGCGGACGGAAGCUAUCGGCCUGGCGGAAGUGAACGGCCGCCGUUGGCGUUUUGGUCACGUGAUCGGAAGGAAGCGCAACUUGCGAAUUGAAACAUCCGAUGCAGACGACAAGGACAUCGAGAUGUCUCGAUGUCAGCAGCAGCGUACUUCGUCCUUCGUCCUUCUUCCUGCGUGUCCUCGAGUGUCCUCGGGCAAAGUGACACCAAAUUGUCGGCUAAUCUGUCGAUGACUUUCACCCCCGAAAGCCAAAACACCAAAAAACACCCAACCCCUCGAACUGUCAGAUGGGAAAUUUAAUUUGCACCCAACAACGGAUGAAGCAACUGCUCUGAAUACAAAUAUAUGCCACUUUUUUUCGAAUUAUUUGUAAACUGAAUUAGGGUAAGCCGUAAUCUGCAAUUCAAAAGUUUUUCAAGGAGAAAUAAAAGGAAUUAUACUAAGCGUA